UACGUAGGGGGCUAGCGUUGUCCGGAAUCAUUGGGCGUAAAGCGCGCGUAGGCGGCCCGGUAAGUCCGCUGUAAAAGUCAGAGGCUCAACCUUUGAAUGUCAGUGGAUACUGCCGGGCUAGAGUCCGGAAGAGGCGAGUGGAACUCCUGGUGUAGCGGUGGAAUGCGCAGAUAUCAGGAAGAACACCGACGGCGAAGGCAGCUCGCUGGGACGGUACUGACGCUGAGGCGCGAAAGCGUGGGGAGCGAACAGG
rnacentral:rRNA from 1 species